rnacentral:tRNA from 1 species
GCCUGGGUGGCUCAGUCAGUUAAGCAUCUGACUUCAGCUCAGGUUAUGAUAUCCCUGUUUGUGAGUUCAAGCCCCACAUCAGGCU